rnacentral:tRNA from 1 species
CAGCCAGCGGCCAGUGGCAGGCUGAGCCUGGUCGGCUCCUUGCCAUCCAGUUGCAGGCUCUGCUCCUGUUCCAGAUAGGGCUGGCUGU